GUGCCCAAUCGUGGGGGAUAACGCAGCGAAAGCUGUGCUAAUACCGCAUACGAUCUACGGAUGAAAGCAGGGGAUCGCAAGACCUUGCGCGAAUGGAGCGGCCGAUGGCAGAUUAGGUAGUUGGUGAGGUAAAGGCUCACCAAGCCUUCGAUCUGUAGCUGGUCUGAGAGGACGACCAGCCACACUGGGACUGAGACACGGCCCAGACUCCUACGGGAGGCAGCAGUGGGGAAUUUUGGACAAUGGGCGAAAGCCUGAUCCAGCCAUGCCGCGUGCAGGAUGAAGGCCUUCGGGUUGUAAACUGCUUUUGUACGGAACGAAACGGUCUUUUCUAAUACAGAAGGCUAAUGACGGUACCGUAAGAAUAAGCACCGGCUAACUACGUGCCAGCAGCCGCGGUAAUACGUAGGGUGCAAGCGUUAAUCGGAAUUACUGGGCGUAAAGCGUGCGCAGGCGGUUAUGUAAGACAGUUGUGAAAUCCCCGGGCUCAACCUGGGAACUGCAUCUGUGACUGCAUAGCUAGAGUACGG
rnacentral:rRNA from 1 species